GGCCUCUCGGCUCUCCUCAAUCACUGUGUUCUUGGUGUACUUUGAGAGAGAGGGAGAGUCAUGCCUUCCUAAUGCUUGGCAGACUGGCCCAAAGUGGCCUCUCUUCCUAGGAGUGCAACAGCU